rnacentral:lncRNA from 1 species
AAUUUGGAAAUUUAUGUUUACGAAAUUGUAUUUGCGAAUUGUGAUUUAUGAUGAGUAAUUUAUGAUUUGAUGAGGGAAUAGGAUAUUAGGAAUGAUUAUUGAUUUGGGAAUUCACGUUUAGGAUGACAUUUUGUAGAUUAUGGAACGAUUUUUUCAACCAAAACGAAAGUUCAUACCCAAUUCUUCUACUUCUAGUUGUGCAUCUAGUCUCGCCAUUGAUUCUAGUCAAGCACAAGAGUUAUUGAAUAACACAAAGAAGUCUCGGGCUCAAUUUAAUGUGGAUGAUCUUGUAUCUGAUCCAGGGAUACGCCCCCUAUCGAAUCAUAUGGUCCUAAUAUCAGAGAUAUUGUUAGGAUGACAUACUUGGAGAAAGGUCAUUGUCAACCAUAUGAACAUGAUUUUCCAAGAAGACCGAUGGGGAAUGAUAAUAGAUGUUUUCGAAAAGAAUAGUUCUCCAAAUUUCAUUGGUUGGAAUACAGUAUAGAAAAGGAUGCGGUGUAUUGUUUGCAUUGCUACCUGUUCAAACCUGAUAGAGGGGGUCAAGGGGGUGGACAUAUAUUUACUAAGACCGGCUUUAGGGAUUGGAAGCACAAAAAGACAUUGAAAGAUCGUGUCGAUCUCUUUGAUAGUUCUCAUAGUCAAGCUUUUGCAAAGUGUACCAACUUGAUGAAUCAAAAGCAAAGUAUCUCUUACGUUAUUUCUAGCCAAAGUAGUAGUCAAUAACAAAGUUAGACCAGGUUGACUGCGGUGCUAGAUUGUACUAGACUCCUCUUGAUGCAAGGAUUGUCAUUUCUUGGUCAUGAUGAAUCGAAAGAGUCUCUUAAUAGCGGAAAUCUAAUUGAGUUAUUGAACUAGUAUGUAGCUCGUUGUAAGGAAAUUAAAGAAGUAUUAUUUAGUAAUACUCCUGAAAAUGACCAAAUGACUUCACCAACCAUCCAAAAGGAUUUUGUUAAUUGUUGUGCCGUGGAGACGACAAGGGCUAUUAUCAAUGAGAUUGGUGAUUCUUUGUUUUCAAUUUUGGUUGAUGUAGCUCGUGAUAAUUUUGUGAAAGAACAAAUAGCAGUUGUUUUAAGGUUUGUUGAUAAAAGUGGGUGAGUGAAGAAGCAUUUUUUGGGUAUGUCCCAUGGCACUGAUACUUGUGCCCAAUCACUGAAGGAUGUCAUUGAUGCAAUGUUUUCUACACAUGGGUUGAGUAUAUCUAGUCUGAGAGGUCGAGGCUAUGAUGGAGCAAAUAAUAUGUCAGGUGAGUUUAAUGGGUUGAAAGCUUUAAUUCUUAGAGAGAACCCACGUGCUAUGUAUGUUCAUUGUUUCGCUCACCAGCUUCAGUUGGCAAUUGUAUAUGUGGCACGUAGGAAUUGUAUGGUUGGUGAUUUUUUGGACGUACUUGUUAUUAUUGUGAAUUUGGUUGGUGCAUCAUGUAAGCGUGUAGAUGCUCUUCGAGCAAGUUAUCAAGCUAAUAUUCUGGAGAAACUUAAUACUGGGAAACUUACUGGUGAAAGUGGCCAGUUUCAAGAAAUGAGUUUGGCACGCCCAGGUGAUACUAGGUGGGGCUCACAUUUAUUUACAGUUACUCGUUUCAUUAAUAUGUUUAAUGUUAUUAUAGAUAUUCUUGAGAAUAUAUGAGAAGAUGGCAUACAUUCAGAUCAAAAAUCUUCGGCCUUAAGACAGAUGAACAAUAUGUAAGAUUUUUAGUUUGUGUUCAGUCUUCACUUUAUGUUUGAAAUUCUUGCAAUAACAGAUGACCUUUCACAAGCCUUACAGAAAAGGAUUAGGAUAUUCAGAAUGCUAUGAGGUUAUUGAAUUUGUGUAAGUGUGCAUUGCAGAACUUGAGAGAGAAUGGUUGGGUUACUUUGUUCAGUAGGGUGAUUGAGUCUUGUGUUGAUAGACAUAUUUUAGUGCCUAAUAUGGAGGAUAUUGUAGUAGUGAAAGGUCAACCUAGGCGUUUAGCUCAGCAGGUGACUUAUUUUCAUCGCUUUUAUGUUGAUUUGUAUUGUCAUAUGAUAGAAUCAAUCUUGCAAGAGUUGAAUAAUCGAUUUCCAGAAACAACUACUGAGCUCUUUACUUACAUUUCAUGUUUAAGUCCAAAAGAUUCAUUUGCAGCUUUUGAUAAGGAUAAAUUGCUACGUCUUGCUCAGUUAUCCUUUGGACUUCAAUAGUGAAGAACUUUUAUUACUUAGACCUCAACUUGAUAAGUUUCUUUUACUUGUGAGAAUGGACGAAGCUUUCUUUAAUCUCCAUAGUAUAUCCUGUGUAGCUCAGAAGUUGAUUGAAACUAGAAGUUCCUAUUAUUUUCCAUUGCUGCUCACCUUGACUUUAUUAUUACCUGUGGCAACUGCAAGUGUUGAAAGGGUAUCUUCUGCUAUGAAUCUAAUCAAUAGUGAUUUGCACAACAAAAUGAGAGAUGACUGGUUGAAUGACAAUUUGGUGGUUUAUGUGGAAAAGCUAUUUUUAAAAAACUUGAGAAUGAGGCAAUAUUGCAUCGUUUUCAAAUCAUGAGACCCC